CGUAAUUAAUUUUACUUGGAUUUAAGGUAGGAAUUUAUUAUUUAUCUUGAUGCUACCUUGCUUUUAAUUUCAUAAGGGUAGAAUUAUAAUUAUGGAUCAUAAGCUUGUUCAAGAGGCUUUGUUUGUAACUUGUUAGUAAUUACUAGCUACUUUUAUUGGCAAGUAAUUGGAGAGUAUUUGCUACAACGAAAGUUGUGUAAAAACUCGAGCCACCUCUUGUACAACCCAAAUAUCUCACUACGAGAGUAGGAGACGAAUUGGGGGGUCCUUGAUACCGAGGAGCCUCAAGAGUUCGGGGUUGAGUACUAAGAAAUUAGGAAAUGCCCUUGCUCUAAUUCAAGACACGAAAUGAUCUUGAAUUCUUAUAGUGUAUGCCCUCUUGAUCCAUGAUUAUUUUUCUUCCUAAUCCAUAAGAAUAUAUAGCAUCUUGAUAAUAAUAAUUCCUAGCUUAAAUCCUAUCUUUUCUUAUUGUAUUUAUUUCCUAUUUUUAGUUUGUUAAUUUAUCAAUUUAUGCUUACAAUUGUGCUUGGAUUCUCGUAAGUGGGUUAAAAAUCUCUAAAAGUAAAUACUUGCACAACUACGUGCCAUAAACGCCAAUCCUCAGCGGAACGACAAAUCAAAACCCGUAUACUUAUUUUUGACAACGAUCAUUGGGCUGACGUGAGUUACCCCGUAAACGUAUGGGGGUUUGCUCCGAAGUUUCCGGUGUUUGGCAAGAGGGGGAAAAAUGAAAUCAAUGGAAAUGAUGCUUUCGUCAAAAGAAAAUAGGAGUUAAAAGGCGCUUGCGAGAGUCCAGAGUACAGCGAACUUCCGCCAAUGCUUCAAUCUCGUCCGGAGCCUCUUCGCGUUUGUUGUACGUAGUUUCUCUUCAUGGCCGGCGGUGUUGGUAGGCAGUCCAAACGUCCCCGUCUGACAGCUGAGGCGGCACUUCAAGGCUAUUGAGGAGGUCCAUCCCUAGGAGGAUGCAGAUGCGGUGGCGUGAUGCACGUAAUAGAGUGAAUUGUGGUGUGUUUGCGGUGCGUCACAUGGAGGCCUACCUGGGUCAAUCCGUGAGUGCUUGGGAUUGUGGGUUGCGGAAGAGUAAUACUGGGUGUCUUGAUUUGUUGAGGAUGACUUAUAUGCGUUAGAUUUUGUCAAUUGAGUGUAAUGUUCACCAUUCCAAGAACAUUCAUAGAGCAGUUACCUUUCGUGACGCCCUUGCCCAAAGCGUGUUAUUAUUAAUCUGGUUCAUCAGUAACUCAUUCUAGAACACUAGGUGCUUUUUAUGUAUUUUGAUUUUGAAUUAAGCAAAUUACUUUGUUUAGCAAUAACUGAUCUCAAAAUUGUAUUAGCAGUUAGUGGCUUUAAAAUUAUAAUGGGUGUCCUUUUUCAGUUGGAUUUUUACAA